rnacentral:rRNA from 1 species
AAACUAGGAUUAGAUACCCUAUUAUUUUAAAUGUAAAAUUUUUUUACUGAAGUAGUAUUAGUUAUGUUCUUGAAAUUUAAAAAUUUUGGCGGUAUUUUAGUCUAUUUAGAGGAACCUGUUCUGUAAUUGAUAAUCCACGAUUUACUUUACUUAUUUUAUAAAUUUGUAUACCGUCGUUAUAAGAAAAUUUUAAUAGAAUAUGAAUUUUUAAUAUUUUAAAUUAAAAAAUAUAUCAGAUCAAGGUGCAGUAUAUAUCUAAGAAGAAAUGGGUUACAAUAAAUAUAUUUAUAUGGAUUAAAGUAAGAAUAAGCUUUAUGAAGGUGGAUUUAAUAGUAAUAAUAUUUAAUUAAAUUUUAUGAUUUUAGCUCUAAAAUAUGUACAUAUCGCCCGUCGCUCUUAUUAUAAGAUAAGAUAAGUCGUAACAUAGUAGAUGUACUGGAAAGUGUAUCUAGAAUGACAAAUUAGAGCUUGUUUUAGUAAAGCAUUUUAUUUACAUUAAAAAGUUGUCGUGCAAAUCGAUUUAAUUUGAAAUUAAAAAUUUAUUAUAAAAUGUUUAUUUUUUUUUUUUAAUAAAAAUAAUUUUAUAUAUUUAAUUUUUAGUAUAUUUUAUAGAAAAAAUUUUAUUAAUUAUAGUAUAAUAGUAUUGUAAAAGAAAAUUGAAAUAAUAUUUUAAUUAUUAUAAAGUAGAAUUAAUUUUUUGUACCUUGUGUAUCAGGGUUUAUUAAAUAAAAAUUAAUUAUAUUUAAUUUUCUCGAUUUUAAGAGAGCUAAUAAAUUAUUUUUAUUAUUGUGAAAAAAAUAUUUAUAAUAAUUUAUUGGUAAUGAAACGUUAUUCGUUCUUAAAUAUAUCUAGUUUAUUUAGAAAUGAAUUUAAUUCAGAUAUUUUUAUUUUAAUAAUUUGAUUAGUUAAAUUAUUAAAUUUUAAUAUUAAUAAUUAAAGGGAUUAGCUUUUAAUUAAAAAUUUAUAAAUUAUAAAAAUUAAUUUAAAAAAUGUAAGUUUAGAAAUAGCUAUCAUUUAUAAUUUGUUAUAAUUAAUUUAUUAAAAAAUAUUAUUUUAUAUAAUUUUAAGUUUUUUAUAAAUAAAUAAUUUUUAAUUUUUUAAAAUUAGAUAUAAUGAUAGAAUUAGUAUAUAAUUAGAAUAUUUAAAUAAUAGUUUAUAAAAGAUUAUUUAAAGGAAUUCGGCAAAUAUUUUACUCGCCUGUUUAACAAAAACAUGUCUUUUUGGUUUAUAUAUAAAGUCUAGCCUGCCCCCUGAAUUAUUUUAAAUGGCCGCAGUAAUUUGACUGUGCAAAGGUAGCAUAAUCAUUAGUUUUUUAAUUAAAAGCUUGUAUGAAAGGUUGGACGAGGUAAAAUCUGUCUCUAUUUAAUUUAAAGUAGAAUUUAAUUUUUAAGUUAAAAAGCUUAAAUAUUUAUAAAAGACGAGAAGACCCUAUAGAGCUUUAUAUUUUUAUUAAUAUAAUUAAUUAAGAUUUUUUUUAAGUUUUAUUAAUAAAAUUAUUUUAUUGGGGUAAUAGAAAGAUUAAAAAAAUUCUUUUUUAUAAUUAACAUUGAUUUAUGAAUUUAAUGAUCCAUUUUUAGUGAUUAUAAGAUUAAGUUACCUUAGGGAUAACAGCGUAAUUUUUUUAGAGAGUUCAUAUCGAUAAAAAAGUUUGCGACCUCGAUGUUGGAUUAAAGAUUAGUUUAGGUGUAGAAGUUUAAAUUUUUGGUCUGUUCGACCAUUAAAUCUUUACAUGAUCUGAGUUCAAACCGGAG